rnacentral:tRNA from 1 species
UAAAAAGUAGUGUAGCGGGUGCACUGAGAAUUUUGAUUUCUUUAGGAUAGGUUCAAGUCCUAUUUUUUUAA